GAUAACGCUGGCGGCGUGCCUAACACAUGCAAGUCGAACGCUUUCUUUGUCUUCGGACAAAGAGGGAGUGGCGGACGGGUGAGUAACACGUGGGUAAUCUAGCUUCGAGUGAGGAAUACCGACGAGAAAUCGUUGACAAUACCGCAUAUGCUUGCCACAUAGGCAAGCAAAGCCGAAAGGCGCUCGAAGAUGAGCCUGCGCCCGAUUAGCUAGCUGGUGGGAAAGUCCGUAACCNCGGGCGACGGAUCGGUAGCGUGGUCUGAGAGGACGAUCAGCCACACU
rnacentral:rRNA from 1 species